UUAUGGCUCAGGAUGAACGCUAGCUACAGGCUUAACACAUGCAAGUCGAGGGGCAGCAUGGGAGUUGCUGCAACUUCUGAUGGCGACCGGCGCACGGGUGAGUAACGCGUAUCCAACCUUCCCCUUAGUAGGGCAUAGCCCGUAGAAAUGCGGAUUAAUACCCUAUGUUCUUCGAAGCGGUCAUCCAAUUUGAAGCAAAGAUUCAUCGCUAAGGGAUGGGGAUGCGUCCGAUUAGGUUGUUGGCGGGGUAACGGCCCACCAAGCCAUCGAUCGGUAGGGGUUCUGAGAGGAAGGUCCCCCACAUUGGAACUGAGACACGGUCCAAACUCCUACGGGAGGCAGCAGUGAGGAAUAUUGGUCAAUGGGCGAGAGCCUGAACCAGCCAAGUAGCGUGCAGGAUGACGGCCCUAUGGGUUGUAAACUGCUUUUAUCAGGGGAUAAAGUGACCCACGUGUGGGUUUUUGUAGGUACCUGAUGAAUAAGGACCGGCUAAUUCCGUGCCAGCCGCAGC
rnacentral:rRNA from 1 species